CCUGCCUGGUACCCACUGGGCUGUAGGUGGUGGCUGGAUGGCCUGAGCCCCCUCCUUUCCUGGGGUGCAGGCAGCCACAGGGCACAACCUGCAGUCCCUGGGGUUGGGGUAGGGAGUCCGAGAGCAGCCAAGGGGCAGGUUUGGUGUCAUGGGCUCAGUCCCCAGAGCGCACGGGGAGGGGAAGGUUCCAUGGCAGGACCUCUGUAUAGGGACUCCGGGGAUGACGACUCGGGCUGGAGGCCAGGCAGGACGACAGGAGGUGGGGAGCAGGAGAACUCCGGGAUGGGGAAGCAGGAGCCCCAGGGACGGGACACUCAGGGAGCAGUGGCCGUCUCCAGCAGCAGCAGGGUCCCGGCCAGCAGAGGAAGCAACGCGGGGACCACGGACCGCCCCGGGUGCGCGGCGUCGGUGGUGCCGGCGGGGGGCGCCAGGUCGCAGGCGGUGUAGGGCUCCAGGCAGGCGGCGAAGGCCAUGACGUGCGCUAUGAAGGUCUGCUCCUGCACGCCGUGAACCAGGUGCGCCUGCGGGCCGCGCGCGAACACCGCCACGUCCUCGCCUGCGUGGGUCUCUUCGUCCAGGGGCACUGCUGACUGCUGCCGAUACUCGGGGCUCCCUGGUUGGAGGGUUCAGUUCCGGUAGGAGGGUUCAUUCAGUUCCAGGCAGACAGGAGGUGACCCCUUCCCGCCAGCCCCCCAUCCUUGGCACCCUGGUCCCCCUCAGGGGGCCACCCCGCGGCACUCACCGCUCUCGCUCUCGGUAACAUCCGGCCGGGCGCCGUCCUUGAGCACAUAGCCUGGACCGUUUCCGUAUAGGAGGACCGUGUAGGCCUUCCUGUCCCGGGCCUUGCCAGGGGCCAGCCCUGCAGAGAGAGGGGUCCCUGUGGUUGAGCUGAACACAGCUGUGGAGUGUCUCCCACGUGCUAGGCACCGCCACGUUUUGCCUGGUCAGGGGCUUAGUCCUCAGGAGACCCUACAGGGCUGGUGCCAGCAUUACUCCCAUUUGACAGAGGAGGAGACUGAGGCUCAGAUUUCACCCACUUAAUUGCUGCAGCAGCACCUGCCACUCUCCCCAGGCCUACCGAAGAUGGAGCUCCCUCGCAGGGGGUAGCCUCCGAAGGAGAAGACGUGGGAGUGGUCGGCAGUGACGAGGCUCAGCGUGUCCUCCUCGCUGGUGAGCUGGCCCGCCCUCUCAAUGGCGUCGUCGAACAUGAUCGUCUCAGUCAGUGCCCGCCCUUGGCCUGGGGGUCGCACGUCAAUGUCCAUGUUGGAGAUGAGCUGCGUAGCGAUGUCCUGGCACCCCUCCUGGCGGGCGGAGGCAGGCACGUCGGCGUCCGAGUACCAGUUGCGGUUCACCGUGUGGGCGUAGGUGCCGGCUGGCGAGGCGUGCUGCACUCGUGUGGUGGUUACCACUCCCACUGACUUCCCUAAG
rnacentral:lncRNA from 1 species